rnacentral:lncRNA from 1 species
GCAGCAUGACACACUGUGCUCUGUCAUAUGUAAUUUGAGAAUUUCCCUUACACAAUCACACCCACCAGUAUUUGUAGGUAUAGCUAUGUGGAAAUUGCAAAGGAAAGCAGGAAGACACAACUUUCAAUGCAAGGCACCUCUGCUCACCAUUAUCGGUUCCGUUGCUAAAACCUGUUCUCUUUAGACUUUCUUUCUCACUGCCAGACUGGCUACUUUCAGAACAAUGCCACCUGUCAGAUGGGAGUUAUGGAUUUAUUUAUUUGUUAUCUCGUCUUCUCUUAGGAUUGACAAGGAAGAGAAAGGACUGCAGAAGAAUAAGACCCACAAAAUGGAAUCUGCGAUGACGGAGAGCAAUGUGAUUCAUCCUAAGAAGAAUGAGAAGCCACACAGGAGAACUUGGGAUCAAGAGAUAGCAGGUUUAUUUCAUGGCAGGGAGCUGAAACCAGACAAUUUUACAUAUGCGCCUGUUAAAGAAGAAGGGCCUAGAUUUUACCGAAUUUGGGAUGUUAACCAGAAAACCAUUAUUUUGAUGAACAACAGGCUGAUAGCAUCUCCACGAAGUUCCAAUAAACCAGGUAAUUGAUGAAUUUGUUAAUUCUGUCUCCACUCCUCUCCCUGCCCAUCUGAAAUCUAUCAAUGGAACGCCCAUAGAUUCUAUGGCUGACUAGCAGAGGUCCAAGGUGUGCCUCUUGUACAUGGACUUGAUGACCAUUUCUAUUGCUGCUGCCUUGCUGACUCCCCUAAUUCAGAGGAAAAGAGCUGAACCCUCCAUUUUAUACAGAGCCUCAUGGUGCAGUGGUUAAACUGCGCGUCCAAUAAUCUGCUCACGAUUAGAGAUGGGGACGAAUAGAAAAGAAGUGAUUUGUUAUGAUU